GCACGGCGUCUUUCGCCAGGCGCGAAAGAUGCGGGCGGUGCCGCCGCUUGCGCUGUGUUGCGCGUGCUGAUCAUCUAUACCUGCAUCCUAUUCAUUCACGCACUGCUGUUCUGGGGGCGUCGUUACCUGCGUGCUCACGCUCGAGCUGCUCGCGUCUAAUAUAAUCAUCUCAUAAUAAAUCUAACAAUAAUCUGAGAUAAUGGUUCGACGGCAUACAAUUCCUGGUGCUAAAUUGACUCAACAAAUUUUGCUUGGAUCGGCAUGGCUCGCUUUCUUUUAUAUGUUGUUGCUGACAUUGUUUGAACUAAUAGAGAUAAUACGGCCGAAACAAUAACCUUUGUUGAAAGAGGAAUGUUUUAAACGUUAUCGACCUCCACGUCGACCUAAUUAAUGUAAAUAAUCUUUUACUGUAUAAUAGACAGUCAUGGGUAAUAUAAAAAAAGUUUAUAUAAUACAUUUUCAUUUUAAUAUGUGAAAUAAAACCAAAAAAUUACUAAAUUAUGAAGAAAUUUUGCCUAAGAGAAAAUCAAAAUAGAGAAAUAAAACGUCUAUGGACGGUGAUGACCACUUACCAUCAGGGACGACCCAGGAACGCAUCGUACGAGGUCGCAACGCACCUCUGAAGUAAUCGACUCGCGGUGGAUCCGACACACUGCUACGGAUUUGUCUGCGUUUCCACAGAGGAUCCCCACGGUGCGUGUUUUUGUGCAUCGUGGGAAGCCAACUUUAGACAAUCACAAUUUUUGGAAAUCUCCUGCGCUUUAAAUUAUAUUUGCUUAUGGUGACAUUCUUUUAGUAGUCGUGUCCUCUGUGUAACCACACAUCAACUUUUAAAAACUAUAAUAUAACUAUUUUGUCAAGAAAA